rnacentral:lncRNA from 1 species
CUGAUCAUGUGUUUUUUUUACUGUUUUGGAUGUGAUUUGUAAAUUUCUUGUUUUGCAAGCAAUAUGUGUUUGUCUUAAGAAAUAAAGUGUCAAAUCUCUCUAUGAAUUUGGUGUGAUACUUUGCUUGCAUGUGUCUCUAUUAAUUUCAUGUCAUGGCUUGAAAUAAAAUCUCUUUCAAAAUUGCCAUGAUGUGAGAAUUAUAGGUCACAAGUACAUUUAGGUAUCAUAUCAAAUUUUUUAGGUUUUUUUUACCCCUUUAUCACUUUCUUUUUGCCAUUUUUAUGCAAUUUCUUUUUGUUUAUUUCCUACUAUUUUGUGCUUUAUGUUACUAACCAUUUCAUUUCAUGUGCC